rnacentral:lncRNA from 1 species
UCAGAAUCGGUUUUAUUGAAAAUGAAUAAAAAGAUUACAGGCUCUUAAUAUACAGAAGGAGGUCCCGAAGUCAGAGACUGCAAUGGGACCUCCUUUACAAUUUAAACGUAAUAAAACAAAUGUACGGCAGUUUUCAAUAAAU